AGAGUUUUGAUCCUGGCUCAGGAUGAACGCUGGCGGCGUGCUUAACACAUGCAAGUCGAGCGGAGCACAUCAUUGGAAUCCUUCGGGAGGAAGAGGAUGUGGCUUUAGCGGCGGACGGGUGAGUAACGCGUGGACAACCUGCCCUAUGCAGGGGAUAACAUCCGGAAACGGGUGCUAAUACCGCAUAAGCGCACGGUACCGCAUGGUACGGUGUGAAAAGCUGAGGCGGCAUAGGAUGGGUCCGCGUUGGAUUAGGCAGUUGGCGGGGUAACGGCCCACCAAACCGACGAUCCAUAGCCGGCCUGAGAGGGUGGACGGCCACAUUGGGACUGAGACACGGCCCAGACUCCUACGGGAGGCAGCAGUGGGGAGUAUUGCACAAUGGGGGGAACCCUGAUGCAGCGACGCCGCGUGGGUGAGGAAGUACUUCGGUAUGUAAAGCCCUAUCAGCAGGGAAGAAAAUGACGGUACCUGACUAAGAAGCCCCGGCUAACUACGUG
rnacentral:rRNA from 1 species